UACAGAGGUGGCAAGCGUUGUUCGGAAUUACUGGGCGUAAAGCGCGCGUAGGCGGACCUGCAAGUCGGGGGUGAAAGCCCGAGGCUCAACCUCGGAACUGCCUUCGAUACUGCGGGUCUCGAGUCCGGGAGAGGUGAGUGGAAUUCCUAGUGUAGAGGUGAAAUUCGUAGAUAUUGGGAAGAACACCGGUGGCGAAGGCGGCUAUCUGGACCGACAUUGACGCUGAGGCGCGAAAGCGUGGGGAGCAAACAGG
rnacentral:rRNA from 1 species